rnacentral:rRNA from 1 species
UACAGAGGGGGCAAGCGUUAUUCGGAAUUAUUGGGCGUAAAGCGCACGUAGGCGGAUUGCUAAGUCAGGGGUGAAAUCCUGGAGCUCAACUCCAGAACUGCCUUUGAUACUGGCGAUCUUGAGUCCGGGAGAGGUGAGUGGAACUGCGAGUGUAGAGGUGAAAUUCGUAGAUAUUCGCAAGAACACCAGUGGCGAAGGCGGCUCACUGGCCCGGUACUGACGCUGAGGUGCGAAAGCGUGGGGAGCAAACAGG